GUGAAUCAUCGAAUUUUUGAACGCAUAUUGCACUCUCUGGUAUUCCUGAGAGUAGGCCUGUUUUAUGGUAAUUUAAAACAAUCUUUAACCAAUUUUUUUGGUCAAGGGAAAUGAGGUCUCCGCGUUUAUAGCGGUAGCUUGAAAUAAAUGGUCAAGUCUCAUCUUAGUCUAGACGCGUAAUA
rnacentral:misc_RNA from 1 species